UACCGUAUGUUGUCGCACGCUGGCAUCAAAAUGCGACGAAAGGCUUAGCGGACAAGGAUGGGGAUGCGUCCGAUUAGCUUGACGGCGGGGUAACGGCCCACCGUGGCUACGAUCGGUAGGGGUUCUGAGAGGAAGGUCCCCCACAUUGGAACUGAGACACGGUCCAAACUCCUACGGGAGGCAGCAGUGAGGAAUAUUGGUCAAUGGACGGGAGUCUGAACCAGCCAAGUAGCGUGCAGGAUGACGGCCCUAUGGGUUGUAAACUGCUUUUGUGCGGGGAUAAAGUGUGGGACGUGUCCCAUAGUUGCAGGUACCGCAUGAAUAAGGACCGGCUAAUUCCGUG
rnacentral:rRNA from 1 species